rnacentral:rRNA from 1 species
GACGGAGGAGGCAAGCGUUAUCCGGAAUUAUUGGGCGUAAAGCGUCCGCAGGUGGCGAUUCAAGUCUGCUGUCAAAGGUCAGGGCUUAACCACGGGAAGGCAGUGGAAACUGAAUAGCUAGAGUGCGGUAGGGGUAGAGGGAAUUCCCGGUGUAGCGGUGAAAUGCGUAGAGAUCGUGAAGAACACCAGUGGCGAAAGCGCUUUGCUGGGCCGGCACUGACACUGAGGGACGAAAGCUAGGGGAGCGAAAGGG